CCUACGGGAGGCAGCAGUGGGGAAUAUUGGACAAUGGGGGCAACCCUGAUCCAGCCAUGCCGCGUGUGUGAAGAAGGCCCUCGGGUUGUAAAGCACUUUCAGUGAGGAAGAACGCCUGGUGGUUAAUACCCAUCAGGAAAGACAUCACUCACAGAAGAAGCACCGGCUAACUCCGGGCCAGCAGCCGCGGUAAUACGGAGGGUGCGAGCGUUAAUCGGAAUUACUGGGCGUAAAGCGCGCGUAGGUGGCUUGAUAAGCCGGUUGUGAAAGCCCCGGGCUCAACCUGGGAACGGCAUCCGGAACUGUCAAGCUAGAGUGCAGGAGAGGAAGGUAGAAUUCCCGGUGUAGCGGUGAAAUGCGUAGAGAUCGGGAGGAAUACCAGUGGCGAAGGCGGCCUUCUGGACUGACACUGACACUGAGGUGCGAAAGCGUGGGUAGCAAACAGGAUUAGAUACCCUAGUAGUC
rnacentral:rRNA from 1 species